GCGGGGGUACCCGAGCCAGGUCUAAAUAGGCUGUUUGGGGCGCAGACCAGCCUAAGACAAGGGGGAGGACUUAAGAUCCUCUGGCGUAGGCCUCCGUGGGUUCGAAUCCCACCCCCCGCA
rnacentral:tRNA from 1 species